CGCGUCGCCACUUUUGGCCGCUCGUGGGGCAGCGUGUCGCCUCUUCUGGCUUUCUUGUUUAGCACUUAGGGUAGGGUUUGACAUUUGGACCUUGCAGAUAUGAUUUUGGGAGAUUUUGGUGAAGGUUUGUUAUCGAUCGGAGCGGUGAAAUGCGUAGAGAUCGGAAAGAACACCAACGCCAAAAGUACUCUACUGGGUCGAUACUGACACUGAGAGACGAAAGCUAGGGGAGCAAAUGGGAUUAGAUACCCCAGUAGUCCUAGCCGUAAACGAUGGAUACUUGAUAGGAACAUUUUAAUGCGACGUUUUAACGGUUAUUUCCUC
rnacentral:lncRNA from 1 species